CUACGGGAGGCAGCAGUGAGGAAUAUUCGGCAAUGGGGGGAACCCUGACCGAGCAACGCCGCGUGGAGGAAGACGGUCUUUGGAUUGUAAACUCCUUUUCUCAGGGAAGAGGGAGGACGGUACCUGAGGAAUCAGUCACGGCUAACUACGUGCCAGCAGCCGCGGUAAUACGUAGGUGGCAAGCGUUAUCCGGAAUUACUGGGCGUAAAGCGCACGCAGGUGGUUGUCUAAGACGGACGUGAAAGCUCCUGGCUUAACUGGGAGAGGUCGUUGGUGACUGGAUGACUUGAGGCGAGGAGAGGGGUGUAGAAUUCCCGGUGUAGUGGUGGAAUGCGUAGAGAUCGGGAGGAAUACCAGUGGCGAAAGCGACACCCUGGCCUUGGCCUGACGCUCAGGUGCGAAAGCGUGGGGAGCGAACGGGAUUAGAAACCCUUGUAGUCC
rnacentral:rRNA from 1 species